GACGAACGCUGGCGGCGUGCCUAAUACAUGCAAGUCGAGCGGACGGAUGGGAGCUUGCUCCCAGACCGUCAGCGGCGGACGGGUGAGUAACACGUGGGCAACCUGCCUGUAAGACUGGGAUAACUCCGGGAAACCGGGGCUAAUACCGGAUAACUCUUUCCCUCACAUGAGGGAAAGCUGAAAGAUGGCAUCUCGCUAUCACUUACAGAUGGGCCCGCGGCGCAUUAGCUAGUUGGUGAGGUAACGGCUCACCAAGGCGACGAUGCGUAGCCGACCUGAGAGGGUGAGCGGCAAAACUGGGACUGAGACACGGCCCAGACUCCUACGGGAGGCAGCAGUAGGGAAUCUGCCGCAAUGGACGAAAGUCUGACGGAGCAACGCCGCGUGAGUGAUGAAGGUUUUCGGAUCGUAAAACUCUGUUGUCAGGGAAGAACAAGUACCGGAGUAACUGCCGGUACCUUGACGGUACCUGACCAGAAAGCCACGGCUAACUACGUG
rnacentral:rRNA from 1 species